UAGGGAAUCUUCGGCAAUGGGGGGAACCCUGACCGAGCAACGCCGCGUGAGUGAAGAAGGUUUUCGGAUCGUAAAGCUCUGUUGUUAAGGAAGAACGAGUGUGAGAAUGGAAAGUUCAUACUGUGACGGUACUUAACCAGAAAGGGACGGCUAACUACGUGCCAGCAGCCGCGGUAAUACGUAGGUCCCGAGCGUUGUCCGGAUUUAUUGGGCGUAAAGCGAGCGCAGGCGGUUAGAAAAGUCUGAAGUGAAAGGCAGUGGCUCAACCAUUGUAGGCUUUGGAAACUGUUUAACUUGAGUGCAGAAGGGGAGAGUGGAAUUCCAUGUGUAGCGGUGAAAUGCGUAGAUAUAUGGAGGAACACCGGUGGCGAAAGCGGCUCUCUGGUCUGUAACUGACGCUGAGGCUCGAAAGAGUGGGGAGCGAACAGG
rnacentral:rRNA from 1 species